UACGGGGGAGCAAGCGUUGUUCGGAUUUACUGGCGUAAGGGCGCGUAGGCGGCCACCGCAAGUCGACUGUGAAAUCUCCGGGCUUAACCCGGAAAGGUCAGCCGAUACUGCGGGCUAGAGUGCAGAAGGGCAACUGGAAUUCUCGGUGUAGCGGUGAAAUGCGUAGAUAUCACUUGGAACGCCGACGGUGAAAACAGCUCGCUGGGCGUGUUCUGACGCUGAGGCGCGAAAGCCAGGGAGCGAACGGG
rnacentral:rRNA from 1 species